AUGGGGCAGCUAGGGGCUAGCUAUGGGGCAGCUAUGGGGCAGCUAAGGGGUGCUAUGGGGCAGCUAUGGGGGCUGCUAUGGGGCAGCUUAUGGGCAGCUAUGAGGGCUGCUGUGGGGCAGCUAGGGGCAGCUAUGGGGCUUGCUAUGGGGCAGCUCUGGGGGCAGCUAUGGGGCUGCUAUGGGGCAGCUAUGGGGGCAGCUAUGGGGCUGCUAUGGGGCUGCUAUGGGCAGCUAUGGGGCUGCUAUGGGGCUGCUAUGCGGGCAGCUAUUGGGGCUGCUAUGGGGCAGCUAUGGGGCUGCUAUUGGGGCAGCUAUGGGGCUGCUAUGGGGCAGCUCUAUGGGGCUGCUAUGGGGCUGCUAUGGGGCAGCUAUGGGUCUGAUGUGUGUCUCUCUGUCUCUCCCCAUAGCUGGAGGUCCUUUAGCUGUUCUAUGGGGCGGGCUGGGCCCCGAGGCGGGCGCUGCCGUGGGGCUGUGCUCGUUCCUUGGGGCCGCAUUCGCUGCCGCAGCCGCAGCUUUGGGGGCGGCCGAGCUGCUGACGGCUGUGUCUGCCCCCCCCCAGCUCCCCCCUGGCCCCACUGCAGCCCUGCCCGCCCCAUAGCGACAACAGCAGCAGCUCCACUGCCCCACAACUGGCUGUUCCAGGGCCCAGCACCGACCUGCUGGCACGUGAGUGCUAUGGGGGGGCACCUCUGCCCCAUAACUGCCCCAUAACUGCCCCAUAACCGCCCUAUAACCACCCCAUAACUGCCCCAUAACC
rnacentral:lncRNA from 1 species